CUUGAGAGACUCACAUGGUGUUGCUCAAGUACGUUUUGUGACAGGCAAUAGCAUCUUAAGAAUUCUUAAGUCCAAGAAGGGACUUGCUCCUGAUCUCCCUGAAGAUCUCUACCAUUUAAUUAAGAAGUAGUUAUUGUUCAAAAGCAUCUUGAGAUGAACAGAAAGGAUAAGGAUGGUAAAUUCUGUCUGAUUCUGAUAGAGAGGUAGAGUCACCCUUUGGCUCAAUAUUGUAAGACCAAGCAAAUCCUCCCUCCCAGUUGGAAGUGA
rnacentral:lncRNA from 1 species